UCGUGCUGAUAACGCGAAGGUCGCGGGUU
rnacentral:ncRNA from 2 species